rnacentral:rRNA from 1 species
UACGUAGGGGGCAAGCGUUGUCCGGAUUUAUUGGGCGUAAAGAGCGUGUAGGCGGUUAGGUAGGUCCGUUGUGAAAACUCGAGGCUCAACCUCGAGACGCCGAUGGAAACCAUCUGACUAGAGUCCGGAAGAGGAGAGUGGAAUUCCUGGUGUAGCGGUGAAAUGCGUAGAUAUCAGGAGGAACACCUGUGGUGUAGACGGCUUUCUGGACCAUAGCUGACGCUGAGACACGAAAGCGUGGGUAGCAAACAGG